rfam:Gossypium hirsutum cultivar TM-1 chromosome 1, whole genome shotgun sequence
AUCUCAUAAUGAGGACACUUACGAAGAAACUCCUUGAAUUGCUCCCAAGCCUCAUACAAAGACUUGUCAUCCAAUAUUUGGAAAGUUGUGAUCUCGUUCCUCAACUU